GACGAACGCUGGCGGCGUGCUUAACACAUGCAAGUCGAACGGAAAGGCCUGCUUUCCCUUGUGGAUUGCGGGUACUCGAGUGGCGAACGGGUGAGUAACACGUGAGUGAUCUGCCCCCAACUUGGGUAAAAGCCUGGGAAACUGGGUCUAAUUCCCGAUAGGACUGCAGGGUGGUGCCUGUGGUGGAAAACGAUUUUCUAGUGGUUGGGGAUGAGCUCGCGGCCUAUCAGCUUGUUGGUGGGGUAAUGGCCUACCAAGGCGGCGACGGGUAGCCGGCCUGGGAGGGUGGACGGCCACAUUGGGACUGAGAUACGGCCCAGACUCCUACGGGAGGCAGCAGUGGGGAAUAUUGCACAAUGGGCGGAAGCCUGAUGCAGCGACGCCGCGUGGGGGAUGACGGCCUUCGGGUUGUAAACUCCUUUCGACCGCGAGGAAGCCACCUGGUUGGAAGGGUGGUGACGGUAGUGGUAGAAGAAGCACCGGCUAACUACGUG
rnacentral:rRNA from 1 species